ACUCGGUCGACCUCGCGAUGAGUAUAAUAGGUAUAGGAAAAGUAACAACCGUUUUGGGCGACCGUGAUGACGAUGAUGGAAUAAAAAAUAUAUAAAUUAUAAUAUUAAAUGUAUAGAUUACUGGUAUUACACAGGCACUAGGUGCGUACGCGUUAUUCACAAAAACAGAAAUUAUCGAAAUAGCCCAGGGGCGUAUUUAGGAUUUUAUCAAGGAGGGGAAUACAGCGAGUUUCAAUUA